GAAGCAGGAGAAGGCAGAAGGAGAAGCUAAGCCAGGCUGUGAUUUCCAGCGACACACAGCCUUGCUCGAUCUGAAGACAAGCUACGGAGUUUCUCUAGAAUGUGUCGCUUCUGCUGUGGAGCCAGCUCUCUGCUUUUGUGUCAGCGAUUGCAGGCUGUCACUGUGAGGGCGGAUUCCAGUACAAGCCGCUACCUUCAGCCAAGGGCGAUUUCCAGGGAACAGUGGCUGUGAGCCGCUAUUACUCACCCUCAUGGCAGCUGAGAGGCAGAUGCAAGAGCCGAGUAAAGGGAGUGUAGAUGGAGCAGUGAGAAGAUGUGGUACUCAUGCUCCCGUGUUCUGGCUUCCCCCAUUCAUUCUUUUCCGUCUUUGUUCAUCUUUCUCUCUCUUGUAAACUCUCUUUUGUUUUCUUCUUUCAUAGUGCUAGAGUUUAAGGAACUGCCACUUCUUUAACCUCCUCUUGAGGAACCAGAUAAUGGUUCACUACGAGAUGCUUCAGACAACUGGCGGAGUAGAAUAACGUUUAUUUAACUAUAUCUGCAUCUGGAGUGGAUCCUCUUGGCUUCUCCCCGGUAACUGUUCCCACUUCCUUUCUUUCCUGUGCCCAAGGCUUGUGUUCCUUUGCAGAGCCUGGAAAGCUGGGCGCUCCCUUCCCCAGCCUCUCUUUGUUUUCAUGUCCUGGCCGGGGAUGGAAGAAAUCUUGGGAGGACUCAUAGAGGAGGAAAAUCACCUUGGCCUUGCUGUGACGUUUCGAUGCUAGGAGCUACUUCAGACACUUUACCAGCCCACGACCAAGCCCACAGAAGCUCAGCGAAGUCGUGCUGCCAGCGUGUCCCUGAGGAAUGAAUGACAUAAUUAUGCAUUGAACAUGAUUUACUGGAUAUUUCAGGAGCUACAAGAAAGAGAACCAAUGAACCUAGAGGAUGUAAGAUAAAAGCACCUGAACAAGCUACGUCAUAUAGAGCUCAUAAUGAUCAUCCUUUGCAUUGCUCUAUAUAUGAGGUAUAUAUGUCUUUUUAUCUAUAUUUAUAGAAAACUGUGUACAUUGGCGCAUUGCUAGCUUUAGCGAACUAUAGAUAUUUUACCUCCUUGUUGUCUAGUCUUCUGUUUGUAAUUUUUUUACACAUAUAUUUAGUAAAAGGUGAAUGAUUUAUACAAUCCGAAGAGAAACCAGAGUAUUUUACACAUAUAUUUAGAACCAAAAAGACAGUGUUAAGGUAACUGUCAGACUUAAUUUAGAAAACUCAAGGGAAGGUGGAGGGGUAUUUUCAAUGAUAGCACACACACUUACCCCAUAAUACAAAAAAUAAGGGGUUCAUUGUCAUUCAGAC